rnacentral:rRNA from 1 species
ACGGCUCAGUAUAUCAGUUAUAAUCUGCUCGAUUGUCAAGGUUAGUGGAUAACCGUGGGAAAUCUAGAGCUAAUACAUGCACCUCCCGGAUGUGGCUUGCUACAUCCAUUGCAUUUAUUAGAGAGAUACCAACCGUGCAAGCAAUUGCAUGUGGUGAAUCUAGAUAACUGUGCAGAUCGUAUGGCUUUAGGCCGGCGACAUUUCGAUUGAAUUUCUGCCCUAUCAACUUGUUGAAAGUGUAGUGUACUUUCAAGGUGUUAACGGGUAACGGGGAAUCAGGGUUCGAUUCCGGAGAGGGAGCCUGAGAAACGGCUACCACAUCCAAGGAAGGCAGCAGGCGCGCAAAUUACCCAAUCCAGAAAGUGGGAGGUGGUAACGAAAAGUACUGAAUAACAGCCUAUGGUUGUUAGUUUGGAAUGAAAACAAUUUAAGCAAUUGAAUUGAGCAACGACUGGAGGGCAAGUCUGGUGCCAGCAGCCGCGGUAAUUCCAGCUCCAGUGGCGUAUCUCAAAGUUGCUGCGCUUAAAACGCUCGUAGUUGGAUCACGCACUACGUGUUGGUGGAUUUGCAUGGCGGGCGUAGAAUCUAGUCGCUUGGGUGGUGUGUCCUCACAUCAUUCUAGGGUCGAGGUUGCACGUCGUGAACUUCAGCAGCCGAUACGUAGUAAUUGCACGUGAGGAUGGCCGUUGAUCUUGAGUGCAUUGACAGUCGUGUCUCACGGGGUGUGCCUUGAGUAAAUCAGAGUGCUUAAAGCAGGCGAAAGCUUGAAUGUUGAUAGCAUGGAACGAACAAUUGUGUAUGGUGUGUAUUGAGUUUGGUGUUUUGCUUUGCGGGACAUCACAAUACACGACACCGACCACCAAUAUCGGAUGUUGGUUCCGUAUUGGGGUAAUGAUUAAGAGGAGCGGUUGGGGGCAUUAGUAUUUGGCAGCGAGAGGUGAAAUUCUUGGACCUGGCAAGGACUAACAAAUGCGAAGGCAUCUGUCCAGACCGUAUCCAUUAAUCAAGAACGAUAGUGAGAGGUUCGAAGACGAUCAGAUACCGUCCUAGUUCUCACCAUAAACGAUGCCGACCCGGAAUGAGCUUGGAGCUUAAAAUGUGCUCGAGGUUGGUUCCCCUGGGAAACCUAAAGUUUUUCGGUUGCGGGGGGAGUAUGGUCGCAAGGCUGAAACUUAAAGGAAUUGACGGAAGGGCACCACCAGGGGUGGAGCCUGCGGCUUAAUUUGACUCAACACGGGAAAACUUACUUGAUCCGGACAUCAGAAGGAUAAACUGACGGCACGAAUCACUUUUGAUUUGGUGAUUGGUGGUGCAUGGCCGUUCUUAGUUCGUGGAGUGAUCUGUCAGGUUAAUUCCGGUAACGUAACGAGACCACUAUCUCCAUUUGAGGAGUUAGAGAAGGCACUGGUUUCGACAUAUUUUGUAAAAAAGGUGUGUUGUUGCUGGUACUGUAGGCAGAGACAGGGUAAAAGUUAACAGGUAACUGUUAGCAUUUGCUUGUUGUUUGUUCCCUCUAACCUAACAGUAUGGUUCUGCAAAGGAGUGUAUUGUAUCAUGGAGAGACAACGGAACAUAUAAAAAUCCGAGGAAGUGUGGCUAUAACAGGUCUGUGAUGCCCUUAGAUGUUCAGGGCUGCACGCGCGCUACAAUGGCGGUGACAACGAGUUUCUGGAUUGAAAAAUUCGGGUAACCUUGUAAUGACCGCCGUGAUGGGGACUGACGUUUGUAAAUACGUCACGAAAGAGGAAUCCCUAGUACACGCGAUUCAUGAAAUUGCGUGGAUUUAGUCCCUGCCCUUUGUACACACCGCCCGUCGCUACUACCGAGUGAAUGGUGUCAUAAUGCCUUGGGAGCGGAUUCGAUAUUAAACUUGUUUGAUGUUGAACUGCAAUCAGCGUAGA